AGGUCUUGCCUGCCCAGUGACAAGUUAAACGGCCGCGGUAUUUUGACCGUGCGAAGGUAGCGCAAUCACUUGUCUUUUAAAUGAAGACCUGUAUGAAUGGCGGAACGAGGGCUUAACUGUCUCCCCUUUCUAGUCAAUGAAAUUGAUCUGCCCGUGCAGAAGCGGACAUGUCCCUACAAGACGAGAAGACCCUUUGGAGCUUAAGAUGUAAGAUCAACUAUGUCAAGAACCCUAAAAUUAAGUUAAACUCAAUAGUACCUGAUCCCCAUCUUCGGUUGGGGCGACCACGGGAGAAAAUAAAGCUCCCAUGCGGACUGGGGAUAACCCCCAAAACCAAGAAAGACACUUCUAAGUCCCAGAACAUCUGACCACAAAGAUCCGGCCACCCGCCGAUCAACGGACCAAGUUACCCUAGGGAUAACAGCGCAAUCCUCUUUCAGAGUCCAUAUCGACAAGAGGGUUUACGACCUCGAUGUUGGAUCAGGACAUCCUAAUGGUGCAGCCGCUAUUAAGGGUUCGUUUGUUCAACGAUUAAGUCCUACGUGAUCU
rnacentral:rRNA from 1 species